GAUAAACGCUGGCGGCGUGCCUAAUACAUGCAAGUCGAACGAGGGCCUUGUAGCAAUACGGGGUUCCUAGUGGCGAAUGGGUGAGUAACGCGUUGGUGACCUGCCCCGAAGCGGGGAAUAACUCCGGGAAACUGGAGCUAAUACCCCAUGUGGUUACGGUUUUUAGAAAACCGUAUCUAAAGGAGUAAUCCACUUCGGGAGGGGCCUGCGUCCCAUCAGCUAGUUGGUAGGGUAAUGGCCUACCAAGGCGACGACGGGUAGGGGGCCUGAGAGGGUGGCCCCCAACAUCGGGGACUGAGACACUGCCCGGACUCCUACGGGUGGCUG
rnacentral:rRNA from 1 species